CGUUAGGACUUGACAACGGCUAGUUCUUUGUUUCGUUCCUAAAUUUGCACCCCCAGUUCUGUUUCACUUUAAGGCUUCUGGUUCAACCAAUAUUAGAGGACCGGAGGAUUGGAGAAGAGCUCAUUAAAGGAGUCGACCGGGAGAAGGUACGGCUUAACCUCAAUUCUCAAAUUGGGAGUCUAGGUGAAUUCUAACAUUAUUCUCAGAUUCGGUUAUAUGUGCUUGCCUCGAUUGAUUUGUGCGUUUAUUAAAGAAUAUGGAUCAAUUGAUGGUGGAAAGUUGCGGAUCUGCCACCGUAGAAGACGCAGCAGCUUGCGCUCCUCCCCAUCCUCCUCCCCCUCCUCCGCCGACUGCUUACCGGAGGCCAAGAGUGAGGGAGGUGAGCUCUAGGUUCAUGUCUCCUGCGGUUUCCACUGGUGAUCUCCCUCAUCCCCUGCCUACUAAAUCGCCCCUCCCGAAACAUCAUCAACAUGGCAUCUCAACUCCAAGCUCGACGCUUGCGGAAAUUCAGUCGAGGCAGCGCUCUUCCUCUGUGAAUAGGCGGCGGAGGCACUUGGACUUGGAGCCCUUCCGCUGCUCCGACGAGAACAGACCCACCGGCUUCUCCUCCAUUCACACUCCGAGUCAGAGUUGGGAAAUCCCUCUCCCACCUGAACAUAUGCUUAAUUAUACUGGGAGGAAACAGCGUCCUGUGAAGCCAUUCAAAGAAAACGGAGGCGGCAAAGUCCAACAGCAACAGCAGAAGCAGCAUCUUACAAAAACCUGCACCGGGAAAGGCGGCAAUGCUUUUACCACAACCUCAAGACCUGACACACCCAUGGUGACUGCUAGUCUAGAUAGGACGUCUAGAUUCAGGCUCAUUCAGCAACGGUCUACCAACAUCACACCCACAGCAGCCGCUAAGCUCUUGCAGUCUAGCGGGAUGUCUUUACCUGCUCUACCUACCAAUCUAGUUACUGAGACUGAGGCAAACACCCGAGACGCCACUUCUGCUCCCCAACUUGAUCCUUCUUCACCAAGCUCACUUCCCGAUGUCAAUAAUCAGAGUCAAAUGCCAGUUGUACCAAGCUGCUCAACAAGGUGUCUUCCUGAUAUCCGCUCUUCCAUGCCUGAGGCCGAUUUGUUGCCAUCCGUUUCUAGUAGACAGCUCGUUGACAAAAGUAGCAGCAGCAGGGGUAUUGCAACUGUCACUGUCAGUGACGAUUUUUUAAAAUGUUCUGCUUCCCCUUGCUCCCGUUCUCUGAAAUUGCCAUUAUCAAGUUCCGACAUCUUAUCCUUCCAGCCAAACAAAGGGAGUGAAAGAUUAACAUCUGUGCUGUCCAAGCCAUAUACAAACACAGGGAAGAUGGGGGGCUUAUGUCUUCCCCCUGUCCCACCAUCUACAAGUGCAAAGCUGAGCUCAGAUACAAGGAGAGGAAAGAAAGUUUCUGGACACCUAGAAGACGUGCACUCCUUGAGAGUGCUUCAUAACCGCUAUCUGCAGUGGAGAUAUACCAAUGCAAGAGCAGAGGCUUCCAUGCAAGCACAGCAGAGAGAAACUGAGAGAACACUUUAUUCUCUUGCGGUAAAGAUAGCAGAACUAUAUGAUUCUGUCAAGAGGAAACGGAUAGAACUCGGCAUUUUGCAAAGAACAGAGACUUUAUCAGCAAUUCUUGAUGCUCAAAUUCCAUAUUUGGACCAGUGGUUUGCUCUUCAAGGGGAUCAUUCAAGUUCUCUGGCAGAAGCAACACAAGCUUUGUCGAAUGCCUCAUUUCAACUUCCAAUCAGUGGCAAUGUUAGGGUCGAUCUACAAGAGGUAAAAGAGGCACUGAACUCAGCAGUGGAAGUGAUGGAGAUCAUAGAUCUCCAAGUUCAGCGAUCUACAGCAAAGAAGAAACAGAAAAUUUGAUUUCAGAACUAGCCAGAGUGACUGGUGGAGAAAGAGCUCUUAUUGAAGAAUGUGGAAAUAUGUUGUCCAAGACAUAUACAACGCAGGUGGAAGAGUGGAGCUUAAGGGGCCAGAUAAUCCAGUUGAAACGUUGCUGUUCUUGAAAAGCAUUUCUUCAACGAAGACUGAGCAAUGAAAUACUUAUUGCGUUGAGAAUGUCUUCUUUAUUUCGUUGCUGCGAAAUGCAUACUUAUUUGUUACGACUUAUUUGAGCCCCUCCCCCCCAUCUCUCUCUGUCUCUCUGUCUCUCUCACGCGUUAUAUACAACCCAUUUCUUCACAGGGAAUCCAUUUGUACCAGGGAUUGCAGGUUGUACAAUACAAUUUGAUCCGAAUUGUUCAGGAA